rnacentral:rRNA from 1 species
UACGUAGGGGGUAAGCGUUAUCCGGAUUUACUGGGUGUAAAGGGAGCGUAGACGGCAUAGCAAGUCUGAAGUGAAAGCCCAAGGCUCAACCAUGGGACUGCUUUGGAAACUGUUAAGCUAGAGUGCUGGAGAGGUAAGCGGAAUUCCUAGUGUAGCGGUGAAAUGCGUAGAUAUUAGGAAGAACACCAGUGGCGAAGGCGGCUUACUGGACAGUAACUGACGUUGAGGCUCGAAAGCGUGGGGAGCAAACAGG